UGUAACUUCAUUUACUUGCGAUUCAUAAUUUUUUUCCUAAACUGCUCUAAAAUCAGCAAAAAUGCCUUGGCAAUUUUAGCAUAGUUCCUAGGAUAUUGGUUGGCACCCAAAGGGUUAAGCACUGAGGACAAAAGCUGAAGGGCUUAACUAUAGAUUUACUAUUAUUUCAGGUUUGGGACUCUUUGGUUUUGUAAGCUCCUAUCCUGCUCAAGGGGAUCCUGGAAGAGACUGGGUAGACACAGGUGUUUGGGGACAUGGUCCCUUCUGUAGUAAAGUUUUGUUUUCUCGGGCAUCUUGUUCUGUGGUGGAGGGUGGCCUGUCAUGUGCAUUAAGGAGGUGUGAGGAGAAGGACUCCACCAGGACUCUGUUUAAUACCCAGUAGAGUGUAGAGAGUACUCUCUAGCAAGUGACAGCACAGCUUCCGCUGUGUGCUCCACCCUCUGCCCCUGGCACGUCUCCGGAUGGGAGUAUCACAUUGUGUGUCCUCUCUGUCUGCACCUCCACCUCCAAGUCUACCUUUCCCCUCACUUGCCUGGGCAGACCAAGCUGCUUGGACUGGAGAAUAAUUUGAGAAAAAGUGAAGUCAUUGUUUGACAACUUGAUGCAAAAAGAAGGUGAUGGGUCUUAGGCUGCAGGGUUUAACAAUGGUGUGGUCAUUUUAGAGGUUUGGAUUAAAAAUAUGUCAGGGUAACUGAAGAAGUAGCUUCUGCAGAUGAAUAGGCAACAAAGUUCCCAGACCCCAUUAAGAGAGUAACUAAGGAGAAAGACUAUCUGCCUGAACAGAUGAAAGUGCCCUAUUCUGGAAAAAAAAAAUGCCACAGAGGUAAUUUGUUAGUAAGAGGAGCAAGAACCAGGGCUUAAGGCAGGAUGGGGGAUAGGUUAAUGCGACUGUUUUGUGCAAGUGCAGCCCUUAUCUAGAAAGCUGGUAACCUCCAGGCCCUGAAAAGAAAAGAUAAACACCAGUUGCCAGUCUUUCGGUUGUACAUCAAGAAGGCCUGGACAAGGAGAACCUUUUUUCUGGAUUGGUUCUGUCAAUGCUUUGUCCCUGAAAUCUGGAAGUACCUUCCCAGUAAGGGACUGCCCUUUAAAGUUCUUUUGAUAAUGCUCUAAGUCACCCAGAAUUCCAUGAGUUCAACACUGAAGGUGUCAAAGUGGUCUACUUGCCCUCAAACAACAUCUAUUCAGCCUCCGAAUCAGGGAGUCCUUUAAGGUUCAUUACACAUGGUACUCGAGAAAGGAUUGUCCGCACUAUGGAAGAGAACCUGGUAGAACAUGAAAGUCUGGAAGGAUCAUACUAUUGAAGAUGCCUUCGUAGUUACAGGAGAAGUAUGAAAGCCAUCAAGCCUGAAACAAGUCCCAGAUAAAGAAAACUGUCCAGAUGUUGUGCUGGACUUACAGGAUUUAUGACAGAGCCAAUUAAGGAAAUCAUGCAAGAUUGUGGAUAUGACAAAAUACUAAUAAAAAAGUGAGUGAGUGUGUGUGUGUGAAGGCUUUCAAGAUGAGGUUCUUGGAGAAAUUCAAGAGCUAAUAGACACCACCCCAGAGGAAUCAACAGGAGAUGACGAUGGAGGUGAGUACCUCUAAUCCAAUGUCAGGUGAUAAGGAAGAAGACAGAAGAAGCAGUGCCAGAAAACACAUUGACAUUAGACUAUUUGGCAGAAGGGUUCUAAUUAUUCAAGACUACUCGGACUUCUCUUAUGACAUGGACCCUUUAUGAUACAGACACAGAAACUAAAGCAAAUAGAAGAAGGAUUGGUACCGUACAGAAACAUUUUUAGAGAAAUGAAAAAGCAAGAAAAAAGACAAAUUAUGAUAUAUGUCUGUAAAGUUACACUGAGUGUGCCUGCCUCUCCUGCCUCCCCUUCCACCUCCUCCAUCUUGUUUCCCUCUGCAACCCUGAGACAGCAAGACCAACCUCUUAGCCAGCCUACUCAAUGUGAAGACCAGGAGGAUGAAGGCCUUUUGUGAUGAUUCACUCCCACUGAAUGAAUAGUAAAUAACCAUCAGGCUGUACAGUUAAUAAACUUACCAGUUUUCUAUGUGUGUGUCUUUGUGUGAAAAUCUAAUAACUAUCUGGUAAGAACUGUAUGAGAUGUUUUCGUGUCAUCAUCGCUUAAGUGUUCAUCGUGUAGAACAUCAUGUACAGUGAGUUUAUGGAAGUGGAUUUU